UGAACGGCUAAAUGAGGACAAACCUGUCUCUUAUAACCAAUCAGUGAAACUGAUCUCCCAAUACAAAAGUUGGGAUGUACACAUAAGACGAGAAGACCCCGUGGAGCUUAAAACAAACUACCAAUCUAAACGACCCUGGUAUGCUGUUUUGAGUUGGGGCGACUUCGGAACAAAACAAAACUUCCGAGCACAGAACCACCACUUCUAACUAAGGCCAACAAGCCUAAGUUUAACCUGACCCGGCCUCGCGCCGAUCAACGAACCAAGUUACCCCGGGGAUAACAGCGCUAUCUUCUUCAAGAGUCCCUAUCAACAAGAAGGUUUACGACCUCGAUGUUGGAUCAGGACACCCUAAUGGUGCAGCCGCUAUUAACGGUUCGUUUGUUCAACGAUUAACAGUCCU
rnacentral:rRNA from 1 species